rnacentral:rRNA from 1 species
AAAGUGGGGGACCUUCGGGCCUCACGCCAUCAGAUGUGCCCAGAUGGGAUUAGCUAGUAGGUGGGGUAAUGGCUCACCUAGGCGACGAUCUCUAGCUGGUCUGAGAGGAUGACCAGCCACACUGGAACUGAGACACGGUCCAGACUCCUACGGGAGGCAGCAGUGGGGAAUAUUGCACAAUGGGCGCAAGCCUGAUGCAGCCAUGCCGCGUGUAUGAAGAAGGCCUUCGGGUUGUAAAGUACUUUCAGCGAGGAGGAAGGCAUUGUGGUUAAUAACCACAGUGAUUGACGUUACUCGCAGAAGAAGCACCGGCUAACUCCGUGCCAGCAGCCGCGGUAAUACGGAGGGUGCAAGCGUUAAUCGGAAUUACUGGGCGUAAAGCGCACGCAGGCGGUUGAUUAAGUCAGAUGUGAAAUCCCCGAGCUUAACUUGGGAACUGCAUUUGAAACUGGUCAGCUAGAGUCUUGUAGAGGGGGGUAGAAUUCCAGGUGUAGCGGUGAAAUGCGUAGAGAUCUGGAGGAAUACCGGUGGCGAAGGCGGCCCCCUGGACAAGACUGACGCUCAGGUGCGAAAGCGUNGGGGAGCAAACAGGAUUAGAUACCCUG